rnacentral:rRNA from 1 species
UACAGAGGGUGCAAGCGUUGUUCGGAAUUACUGGGCGUAAAGCGCGUGUAGGCGGUUGUUUAGGUCUCGUGUGAAAGCCCUGGGCUCAACCCAGGAAGUGCGCGAGAAACCGGACGACUGGAGUACUGGAGAGGAUGGCGGAAUUCCCGGUGUAGAGGUGAAAUUCGUAGAUAUCGGGAGGAACACCUGUGGCGAAGGCGGCCAUCUGGACAGUAACUGACGCUGAGACGCGAAAGCGUGGGGAGCAAACAGG